rnacentral:lncRNA from 1 species
AUUUUCUUUUUUUAAUUUUGGGGGCUGAAAAGAUGGUUCAGGGGUUAAGAGUACUUUUAUUGCAGUUGAGCAAUAGUGGCCACACUCUUUAGUCCCAGUACUUGGGAAACAAAGGCAAGUGGAUCUCUGUGAGCUUGAGGCUACCCUGGUCUACAAAGCUACAGGACAGUGAAGGCUACACAAUGAUAACCUGUCUCAAAAAUCAAAAAACAAACAAAAACCAGAAACCCAACAACAGCAAGGUGCUUGUUGCUCUUGCAGGGGAUCCAGCGUCACAAUUGUCUGUUACCUCUAGUUCCAGAAAUCUGACAUGCUCUUGUGAUCUCUGUGGGCAUACACAUGGGUGAAUAUAUAUAAAACAGGCACACACACAUGUAUAUCUCACUAUGUAAACUCCCACUCAGUAGCCAUUGCUAGCCUAGAAUUCACUAUGCUGAUCUCGCUUCCUAGUCUCUUUCAUACUAUUACUGUUUUAGUGAUUGCCAUAGAUAUUACCACAUGAAUUAUUUUUUUAAAAAUUUUAUUUAUUUAUUAUAUGUAAGUUCACUGUAGCUGUCUUCAGACACUCCAGAAGAGGGAGUCAGAUCUUGUUACAGAUGGUUGUGAGCCACCAUGUGGUUGCUGGGAUUUGAACUCAGGACCUUUGGAAGAGAAGUCAGUGCUCUUAACCUCUGAGCCAUCUCUCCAGCCCCUGAAUUCUUUUUUUUUAAAGAUUUAUUUAUUUAUUUAUUACAUGUAAUUACACUGUAGCUGUCUUCAGACACUCUAGAAGAGGGUAUCAGAUCUCAUUAUGGAUGGUUGUGACCCACCAUAUGGUUACUGGGAUUUGAACUCAGGACCUUCCAAAGAGCAGUAGGUGCUCUUAACCACUGAGCCAUCUCUCCAGCCUCCCACAUGAAUUCUUAAUUUAGCAAAGAGUCAUGCUAUUAAAUACCUUUAUAGGAAGAAUGGAAUUCAUUAAGAUCUUGCAAAGUAAGAAUAUUCCAGACCAGAUAAACGGGGAAGCACAGGGAAAGUAGCAUCAGAAAAUCACUCACCAUGUCUGGGAUUGUAAUCCUAGAUUUAAUUCUAGAAGCAACAGGAAAGCCAAAGAAAGUUCUUUAGAACAAUGAAGAUUCUAUUAUUGUUUGUCUGGUUACUGGAAUUAGAUGGGUAGCCCCAGGGUGUAUUUAUUAUUAUUUUUUUUUCAAAACAACCCUAUCUGUCCUGGAAAUCACUCUAUAGACUAAGGCAUCUUCAGGUCACAGAUCCACCUGCCUCUGCCCCCACGUCCUGGGAUUAAAAGAGAGCUCUUCCAUGCCUGGCUGACUUUCUUUUUAAGAGGAGAGGGGCUGAGAUCAAAGGCAUGCACCACUAUUCCCAGCAAGUUUAUUGUUAGUUUUUGAGAUUUUGUGUUUUAUUUUAUGAGUGUUUUACCAGAAUGCAUAUCUAUGAACUAUGCGGAAGAAGUGCCCAUAGAGGCCAGAAGAGAUUAUCAGAUGCCCUGGGACUGGAAUUACAAAUGAUGCUAAGAUGCCAUGUGGGUGCUAGGAAUUGAUUUAGGGUCAUUUGAAAGAACAGCCAGUGCUUUAAUCACUGAGCCAUCUCCUCAGCCCCAGAGUGUGGGCUUUAAAACCAACCAGGAAGGAUGUCUUGAUCCUGACAAAGAUAUCUGGGAAAAACAAGACUCAGCAGCUCAGGAAGAGCAGGGUUUCCUUUGUCCUUCAGUGAGGCAGGGCCAGUGUUGGGCCUGGAUGUCUAGCUUUAUUUGUGUCUCUGCCUUUCUUUGUCUCUUCACCUUCCCCAGCCCUCCUCCCUCCCUCCCAAUCACUAGCAAUUGCUUUCAAAAGGCCUAUCUUGCAAUUCUUAAAGCGCUGCUAGGUUUGUUUCAGUACAGUCUUUAAAACCCAGUUCAGUAAAGUCUAUCAAAUACGCUCUUACUCUAUUCUAGCCCCUACAUUAGGCUGAAAGAUCAAGUAAUCCAUUAAGUGGGGGUUGCCUCCUUAAACUAGCUCCUGAACACUUGAGAGACUGAGGCAGGAGAGUUGUGAUUUUUGAGACCAGCCUAGGCUAUAUAGUAACUUCUAGCCAGUCUGGGUCACAGAUUGAAACUAUCUCAGAAAAUAAAAGAACUUCCAGAAGGGUGUGUGAGGGGGGGUCUAGACAAGGAAUUCAUUUGCUACUUUGUGGCCAGAGUUCUAAUAAAAACUUGAUAGAAUGUUUCUAAUGCUACAGAUGUGGGAGGAUAGGCAGGUGAUUGUAAGAUGUAGGGAAAAGGAAAAGAUGAUCAAAGUUUCAUGGAAGAGGAAGAUAAAGCUAGGGUCUAAAAUCUAAUUGCUGAAGAAGAUGAUGACCAGAUUACAAAAGUGGUUGAGCACCACACUAAGGAAUUUAUCCCUGCUUAUAAAAGCUAUGGAGAGCUACGAAAUAAUUGAUUAACAGCAAAGAAGGGAGUCAGGAUUGUUGUACACCUGUACUCCCAGCUCCAGUGAGCCAAAAUAAGCAAAUCUCAUGAGUUGGGGCCAGCCUGUUCUACAUAGUGAGUUCCAGGUCUGACAGUGCUAAAAGUGAGACCCUGCC